CUGUGGCGAUUGAUGUGACGU
rnacentral:piRNA from 1 species